rnacentral:misc_RNA from 1 species
AAGUCGUAACAAGGUUUCCGUAGGUGAACCUGCGGAAGGAUCAUUACAGUUUUAUUGGUUUACUAGCCAGCGCUUAAUUGCGCGGCCGGUGUAACUAAAACCUUACACACAGUGUUUAAAUUUUUUUAAAGAAUUUGCUUUGGUUUGGCCUUCGGGUUGGGCCAGAGGUUUUACACAAACUUCAAUUUUUUAUUGAAUUUUUUUUAAUAAUUUGUCAUGUUUUGUUUUGAUUAAUUUCAAAAAUCAAUCUUCAAAACUUUCAACAACGGAUCUCUUGGUUCUC